UACGUAGGCGGUAAAUUAAGUCAGUAGUGAAAUCUUGCAGCUUAACUGUAGAACUGUUAUUGAUACUGGUUUUCUUGAAUAUAGUUGAGGUAGGCGGAAUGUGUAAUGUAUCGGUGAAAUGCUUAGAUAUUACACAGAACACCGAUUGCGAAGGCAGCUUACUAAGCUAUGAUUGACGCUGAUGGACGAAAGCGUGGGGAGCGAACAGGAUUAGAUACCCUGGUAGUCC
rnacentral:rRNA from 1 species